CCUACGGGAGGCAGCAGUGAGGAAUCUUGGUCAAUGGGCGGGAGCCUGAACCAGCCAAGUCGCGUGAGGGAAGACGGUCCUAUGGAUUGUAAACCUCUUUAGGCGGGGAGCAAUGCCGGGCACGCGUGCCCGGAGGGAGAGUACCCGCAGCAUAAGCAUCGGCUAACUCCGUGCCAGCAGCCGCGGUAAUACGGAGGAUGCGAGCGUUAUCCGGAUUUAUUGGGUUUAAAGGGUGCGUAGGCGGAUUUUUAAGUCAGCGGUAAAAUGUCGGGGCUCAGCCCGGGCCGGCCGUUGAAACUGGGGAUCUGGAGUGGGCGAGAAGUAUGCGGAAUGCGUGGUGUAGCGGUGAAAU
rnacentral:rRNA from 1 species